CUGGGAGGACCAUCUCCUAAGGCUAAAUACUCUCUAGUGACCGAUAGUGAACCAGUACCGUGAGGGAAAGGUGAAAAGCACCCCGGAAGGGGAGUGAAAUAGAACCUGAAACCGUGUGCUUACAAGUAGUCAGAGCCCGUUAAUGGGUGAUGGCGUGCCUUUUGUAGAAUGAACCGGCGAGUUACGAUUUGAUGCAAGGUUAAGCAGUAAAUGUGGAGCCGUAGCGAAAGCGAGUCUGAAUAGGGCGUUUAGUAUUUGGUCGUAGACCCGAAACCAGGUGAUCUACCCUUGGUCAGGUUGAAGUUCAGGUAACACUGAAUGGAGGACCGAACCGACUUACGUUGAAAAGUGAGCGGAUGAACUGAGGGUAGCGGAGAAAUUCCAAUCGAACCUGGAGAUAGCUGGUUCUCUCCGAAAUAGCUUUAGGGCUAGCCUCAAGUGAUGAUUAUUGGAGGUAGAGCACUGUUUGGACG
rnacentral:rRNA from 1 species